ACUGCGGCCAUUUGGGGAAAAAUGCUCACAUUUUCUCCAAAUUCCUGAUGACCACCCUCCCCCUGCUCACUCGCAGUACCUACGAGUACUCGGAUGUCAACUAAUGCGCAGAUUUGAUUCACAAGUAACACGUAUAGUUCUACUAGUGUGCAGAAUUGUCACAGAGUAGUGGAAGACAGUCAUGGGAAUGACUGUACAUUAUUAUUGGAAGCCAGUCAUUCAACGAGUGUGCUAAAUAGUUUUGCUCGUGAAGUCAAAAGCGCGCACUUGUGGCUUGCCAUUAACUCGCUCUGACCUUGCCAUGUGACUCCUCGCAUUGGAAUCAGAUCACUGGAAUUCUCCGAAGUCUUUCGGCGAACGAGGGGUUAAGGAGAAAACCGCGGUGUCCGCUUACAUGAGGCAAGGUCAAGAUAUUCGACUCGGCGGCGGUAGGAAAGUAUACGGGACUGGAGAGGGAGUUUGCAAGUAUCGCUGAAUUUUACUUUGAGACCAAGUCAGUUGUUCCUUUGUCUGUGCCAGCGGAAAAAAAAAAAAAUCCAAUCACGUGUCCCCGGAAUCUCACAUUACUUGAAUUUCUUUGCCUCAGCGACCCAGUUUCACACCAGAGCUGCCGAAUGCGGCCCAACUCAAACGACGUCUCAAACAAACCUCGUGGUUGCUUUGGGGUUCGGUUGUUUGAGUUCCUGGUUUGUCCUUGACAGUUCGUCCAGUCGGCGUCUUUGAUGCUCACAUUAGGUCAAGAUGAAGCCAAUUGAAGCCAGAUGGCUCUGAAGCGCUGGCAUCAUCACUUUUCGGACCCCUUUUGUUUUCACUGCUACCCACUUCUUUCACUCACAGGCUCCAGCGAAGCACUUUUAGUAGACAAACAGCACUGGUGAGACGUCACCAAGUGCAAAUACUCUUACCGCAAUAUGAUUUAUUAUUAUUUUUUUACUCCUCUUUAUUUCUCCGCUCCUUACUUAGUCCAAGCAGACUCAUGAUUUUUUUUUCCAACCUCCGAAACAACACACA